UUUGUCAGGAGCUGGCCCUGUGCUGUGCCAUCACAGCCACACCAGCCUGGUCAGUCACUGUGUUCAGCCCCUGGUGGAUCUGGUACUUGCUGUGGCACUGGCAGGAGGCACACCACACCCGUUUGUGGCUGACCUGUGGCUGCUUCAUGCCCUGCACACACUUGUAGGGGCUCCCUGGGCUCAAGUGCCCUGGGCAGCUCCUUUGCCUGUUAACAACAGGACAGGACAGUAAAGCCUGUGCCCACAGCUCGGCUCAGCAUCCAGCAACCAAACACUGUCUCUCUUACAAAGACCAUUUCCUUGGCAGUAUGGAAGUACUAACUGUGCCUCAGAGGCAGGUCUAGGAGGAUGCAAAGCCAUCUGCUUUGUAAGACAACUCACUGCCCAAACACAAUCGGUGUGCUUGUUUCUUCUCAAAACACUUCCAAGUUCCUUUUCCAAGCUCUGCCUAACAGAGACCAAUUUUUUCUGCCCAGCCUAUUUAUACCCCAUGGUCUCUGUGGUCUUUUAAUUCCUACCAGAGACUGGAGGCUCCUCCUUGAAGUGAAAAGUUGGAGCAGGCAAGAAGUGAAGGAGAGCCAGGGAUGGGAGCAGGGGUGCUGCUGGCACAACUCACCUGCCUGGCUUCAGCAGAUCUGUGUGGGCCUGGAGAAGACAGAGCACAGGAAAAACACAAAAUCCAGCACAAGGUAUCUGUAGAGUGGUUUGGAUAUUGAGGCAAUGGUGGCAGGAAGAUGUGUGAAGAGGAGUUGCCAGGAGGGUACAAAACUUGGUUAAGUUCUCCAUCUAACGCCUCUGAAGUGGCCAGAAGAGAGUGAGCCGAAGGCAUCAGCAGGAAGUGCCUCAAGGGUGCACUGUGAGGAAAAACCUUGCAAGGGAAGAAGACUUGUAGCAGCCCUGAGGCACAACUGCCUUUACCUGUGGGCUUUCAGGUUUGCAUGUCAGUGCUGGACAGAGGACCUUAAAUCUGGGGGAUUACUUUCAGAUUAACCUGUUGAAGAGCUUGUGGUCCUUGUUGGGAAGUGGGAACUGCCAAAGCAGAACCAACACAGACAAACAGCAGGGAGAGGAGUAAGAGCUGCUUUUUUUCUCACAGGCUAAAAUUGACACAUGACAUCUAGAAAAAUCUUAAAAAUACACUGAGACUGCAAACAUCAUUGGCUUCAACAGGCAGGUUUAUGCCAAAUUUUGUGAGGGUGCAAAAGACUUGUAAGUCACAAUCAAGAAGUUAGGACCUCAGUGUUUCUUUAUUUCCAUGGAGACACAUGGGAGACCUGCACGGGCAUGGCUGGGAGACACUGCUGGGUGGCAGUGCUCUGAUGGCAGCCUAUACUCAGGGAGACCAGAGGUAACCAGUCAAGUUUUAAUAUCAGGGCUUCGUCAGCUACAAUGCUACAUCUCUGGGCAAAUCCCCACAUCAUCUUUACAGUUACUUCCCAAAAAAUGUAACAUUUUUUUCCUGGUGCAUAAGGCUGCUUUAUGUUUUGUCUCCCCAGAACUAUCCUCCUAAAACAUCUUACUGCAGCUCCUAAAGCCUCAUUAAACAAACCUUUGCCCUGCAAGGCUGGAAGACACAGGGAGCCCAGGGACACUGAUAACCCAGUGGUGUGUUGUU
ensembl:lncRNA